AACGCACAUUGCGCCCCUUGGUAUUCCGAGGGGCAUGCCUGUUCGAGCGUCAUUACAACCCUCAAGCAUUGCUUGGUAUUAGGCUCUGCUGUUCACCCAGCAGGCCUUAAAAUCAGUGGCGGUGCCGUCGAGGCCCUGAGCGUAGUAAAUAUCCUCGCUAUAGGGACCCGGUGGAUACUGGCCAUCAACCCCCAACUUUCUAAGUUUGACCUCGGAUCAGGUAGGGAUACCCGCUGAACUUAA
rnacentral:misc_RNA from 1 species